GAUGAACGCUGGCGGCGUGCCUAAUACAUGCAAGUAGAACGCUGAAGGAGGAGCUUGCUCUUCAGGAUGAGUUGCGAACGGGUGAGUAACGCGUAGGUAACCUGCCUGGUAGCGGGGGAUAACUAUUGGAAACGAUAGCUAAUACCGCAUGACAACAGUUAUUGCAUGAUAACUGUUUAAAAGGGGCAACUGCUCCACUACCAGAUGGACCUGCGUUGUAUUAGCUAGUUGGUGAGGUAACGGCUCACCAAGGCGACGAUACAUAGCCGACCUGAGAGGGUGAUCGGCCACACUGGGACUGAGACACGGCCCAGACUCCUACGGGAGGCAGCAGUAGGGAAUCUUCGGCAAUGGACGGAAGUCUGACCGAGCAACGCCGCGUGAGUGAAGAAGGUUUUCGGAUCGUAAAGCUCUGUUGUAAGAGAAGAACGAGUGUGAGAGUGGAAAGUUCACACUGUGACGGUAUCUUACCAGAAAGGGACGGCUAACUACGUG
rnacentral:rRNA from 1 species